GCCUACAUGAAGUCGGAAUCGCUAGUAAUCGCGGAUCAGCACGCCGCGGUGAAUACGUUCCCGGGCCUUGUACACACCGCCCGUCACACCACGAGAGUUUGUAACACCCGAAGUCGGUGAGGUAACCUUUUAGGAGCCAGCCGCCUAAGGUGGGAUAGAUGAUUGGGGUGAAGUCGUAACAAGGUAGCCGUAUCGGAAGGUGCGGCUGGAUCACCUCCUUU
rnacentral:rRNA from 1 species